AAGCCACCUGGCGACAGGGAGCGGAACCCGAAAGCCUGUCUCAGUUCGGAUUGGAGUCUGCAACCCGACUCCAUGAAGCUGGAUUCGCUAGUAAUCGCGCAUCAGCCACGGCGCGGUGAAUACGUUCCCGGGCCUUGUACACACCGCCCGUCAAGCCAUGGAAGCCGGGGGUGCCUGAAGUGCGCUGCCGCAAGGAGCGCCCUAGGGUAAAACCGGUGACUGGGGCUAAGUCGUAACAAGGUAGC
rnacentral:rRNA from 1 species